ACGGGAGGCAGCAGUGGGGAAUAUUGGUCAAUGGGCGGAAGCCUGAACCAGCCAAGUCGCGUGAAGGAUGAAGGUAUUAUGUAUUGUAAACUUCUUUAGACGUAGAGAAAUAAGGGUGUCGUGACACCUGAUGCUAGUAUACGUAGAAUAAGGAUCGGCUAACUCCGUGCCAGCAGCCGCGGUAAUACGGAGGAUCCGAGCGUUAUCCGGAUUUAUUGGGUUUAAAGGGUGCGCAGGCGGUCUUUUAAGUCGGUGGUUAAGUCGUGGGGCUUAACUCCAUCCGGCCAUUGAUACUGGAGGACUUGAUUGCGGUUGAGGUUGGCGGAAUUCGCCGUGUAGCGGUGAAAUGCAUAGAUAUGGCGAAGAACUCCGAUUGCGUAGGCAGCUGACCAAGCCGAUAAUGACGCUCAUGCACGAAAGUGCGGGGAUCGAACAGGAUUAGAUACCCUGGUA
rnacentral:rRNA from 1 species